UCGCCGGCGACCCCGGCUGCAGCCAGCCCCUACAUCUCCGCCGAUUAUGAGCUGGGUCACCUCCAACUCCUCCUCGUUCGAGCGGCGAUCGGCAACAACGACCCUCAACGCACGAGGAACAAGUUUACUGAUUUUGCAUUUUGGUAAUUGGUUCUUCUGAUAGCGCAUGAAGAUUUUAUUGCAGGAAGACAGAGAUGAAGAUCUCUGCUCUUCUGACUUCUGCUGGCAUAAACAUAGGCCUCUGUACCCUCUUCUUGUCCCUAUAUUCGAUCCUUAGAAAGCAACCGUCCAAUCUUAGUGUUUACUUUGGACGGAGGCUUUCUGAAGAGCACAAUCGACGUGACUCUUUUAGUUUUGAUAGACUGGUUCCAUCUGCUGGUUGGCUAAUGAAGGCUUGGAGGACAACUGAUGAAGAAAUCUUGUCAUCAGUUGGUCUGGAUGCUGUUGUCUUCCUCAGAAUGCUUGUUUUCAGCAUUCGUAUCUUCGCCAUAGCUGCUGGAGUGUGUCUAUUUGGAGUACUUCCUUUCAAUUAUUAUGGAAAUGAAAUGACACACACAAAGAUUCAUUUAGAGAAAAUAGAUGUAUUUAGCAUUGCAAAUGUCGAAGAUGGUUCUCAAUGGCUCUGGAUCCACUGCCUCGCCUUGUAUAUUAUAUCUUCGACAGCAUGCUUUCUUCUAUAUUUAGAAUAUAGGAAUAUCUCAAGGAUGAGGCUUGCUCAUAUUACUGAAUCUCCUCCAAAUCCUAGACAUUUCUCAGUUCUCGUUCGUUCUAUCCCAAGGACUCAUGAUGAACCAUUUGAUGUUACAAUUGUAAAUUUCUUCACAAAGUAUCAUGGAUCGAGCUAUUUAUCCCAUCAGAUGAUUUCUCAAGCUGGAACAGUUCAGAAAAUUAUGUAUAACGCGAAGAAGGUCUAUAAAAAAAUUAUACGGUUAAAGAACACUAGUUUUAACCAGCAUCAUCGUUCUAGCAACUACAGAUGUGGUCUCUGUGGAGGGGGCUCUCGUCCUUUACAUACUUAUCAUAAUGCCUUCGAGCUUGAAGCAAAACGAUAUGAGCUUGAGAGUUCUGUUUCAAGGACAACGAAGAAGGAUUCCUCAGCUGCCUUUGUAUUUUUCAAGACACGCUAUGCUGCAGUUGUUGCUUCACAGAUUCCUCAGUCUUCAGAUCCAAUGUUGUGGGCAAUUGACUUGGCUCCAGAACCAAAUGAUGUUUACUGGUCAAAUCUAUGGGUACCAUAUAGGCUAGUUUGGCUUCACAGAAUUACCGUGCAGAUUGCUACACUUGCUUUUAUGGUUGUGUUUACCAUCCCAGUUACUUUUGUGCAAGGACUAUCACAUCUGGACAAGUUGCAGAAGAAGUUCCCUGUUUUGAGAGAUCUACUGAAGAAGUCCUUCUUGAUCCAGAUUGUAACAGGCUACCUUCCCAGUGUUCUUUUAAUGCUAGCCCUUUACACUGUGCCGCCAGUGAUGAUGCUACUUUCUCGUUUUGAAGGAUGCAUAUCCCACAGUGGCAAAAGGAAAAGUGCGUGUGGCAAAGUAUUGUACUUCACCAUCUGGAAUGUAUUCUUUAUGAAUUGUUUUUCCGCAUCUUUCAUUAGGAAUCUCGUAUCAGCUCCAACCGACAUUCCCACAAUGCUUGCUAAAUUAUUACCAGGACAGGCAGCUUUUUUCAUUACUUAUGUUCUAACAUCAGGAUGGGCCAGUUUAUCUGCUGAACUUCUACAAAUUUUCCCUCUCAUCUGUAACUUUAUUAAGAGAACUCUGGGUAUAAGUGACGAUGAUCCAUCUGUGCUAUCCUUUCCUUACUACACUGAAGUUCCGAGAGUUCUCCUUCUUAGCCUGAUUGGUUUCACAUACUCAGUAUUAGCGCCUCUAAUAUUACCGUUCUUGCUGGUUUACUUUUUACUUGCUUACUUGGUGUAUCGCAAUCAGACUUGAGAUCAAAAUCACAUCAAGAUUUCAAGGAAUGAAAUAAGGAAUAGAGGAAGACAAGUUAAAAUAGCAAUUGUAAACUAUCUGCAGAUUUAAGUUGUAAAACUAAUUAAUAUUAGUCGCAGUGAAGAGUGAACAUUGAUUCGACGAAACUCAGAGAUUAUUGACCGAGUUAUAAACUUAUAAUUAGCUAAAGUAGUUGCAUUGAAAAAUUAGUUGCAGUUAAAACUAAUUGCUCAAAUUUAAUUGUAAUUACAAUUAAAUUUUCUUAUACACACAAGUAUUUUCUUAAAAUUAAUUACAAGUUUUCUAUAAACUAAUUGCAGUGAAAAAACUUAUAUUGAUUAAAAAUUAGUUGCAGUUAAAAAAACUUAUAUUGAGAUAAACAAAUGAAUAAGUCACAGUAAUAGUCUCACAAGCCAUAACAAGUUUCACAACAAAUAUCUAUAAACAGUAAUACAAGUAAUACUAUCUGUCUCAAAUAACAACACCCAAUCAACUUAAAAAAAUAGCAAACAUCCGACAGAAAAACAGAAAACACAAAACGAAGGCGAGACCAAGGUUCCUGGAGAUUUACGAAGUCGAGGUGACGAAGAGGAAACCCGUGCGGAAGAUUCGCUGGAGAUUCGCUGAGAACAGUCGCUAGAGAUUUAGGGCUUGAAGGUGACGAAGAGGCGAGGACGAAGAGGAGACGAAGAGAUUUGUCGCGACGAAGAGGCGAUGAAGAUUUGCUGGAGAAAAAGGCGACGAAGAGGUGAGGAUGAAGAAGCGACAAAGAGGCGAUGAAGAUUUGCUGGAGAAUAGCCGCCAGAGAUUUAGGGCAGAAGGUAUGGAUUCACGAAGGGGGUUGAGUUUUCAUUUUAUUGUGAAAACGGGUCGGGUCGGGUUUAAUUUCUCAACAACCUCACUCAAAUCACCAGCCACAGCGAUAACCGAUAAUAAAAACCUAUGUUAUCGGGCGAUAUUCUCCUUUAUCGGCGAUAAAUCGCCGAUAAUUUGUCAAAAACGAUAACCGACUAGAAAAUCAAGUUAUCCUAUCGGCAAGCUUAAAAAUCCGAUAUAUCACCGAUGAUACCCGAUAUAUCGCCGAUAUUUAAAACACUGCUAUUAGGUAGUUUAACUUUCCCACCAAUCUCCUAUAUACCCUAGCAUCCUCCAAAAGCUGCCCUAGGUCUUGUAAUAGCUUAAUCUUCACAUCCAUCGGAGUGUUAACAAUUGUACAUUAUAACAUAUCUAUCUCUAAAAGCAUUUUAAGGACAUAUUUCCUCUGUGAUAGAAAAAUGCCCUUUAUGGAUUUGGCAACUUCAAUAUCUAAGUACUUUAAGGAACCAAGAUCCUUUGUGUGGUAAUGCUACUGUAGAUCCUUCUUCAGGCUUUCAAUCUCAUGUAUAUCAUCGCCCGUUAUCAGAAUAUCAUCCACAUAUGCCAACAAGAGAAUUCUCUUCUCUACAUGAGUUCGCUAAAAUACUGAGUGGUCUUUCUGUGCUCGACAAUAACUAAAGUUCUGAACAGCUAAUGUAAAACACCUAAAUCAUGCUCUAGGAUCAGUGUUUUAAAAAACACCCUGGGCGACCGCCUAGGCGGAGGCGGUGCCCCAAGCGUCUCAAAAUGACUUGAGCGGAGGAAUUUAGGCGCUGGGAGCGCUUACACGGUCGCCCAGACCUAAGCGGGCUAUUUAAACGGCCCGCCCGACUUAAAAAAAAACAAAACAAACGGUGCUGAAAACAAACCCAAACCCAUUUCCAAAAACUAAACCUAAACCCAACUUACUGAUAAGUGUCGUGAAAACCCUAAUUUUUGUCAAAAUUUCCCGACGCUGCCAUGAAUUCGAAACCAUGUUCACCACGAGAAAGUUUGUUGACCUCGUCUUUGCUUCCCGACGCCUCUCGGAGCUUUCCGAUGCCUCUCGACGCUUCGCUGACGCCUCUUGACGCCUCUCGUUGCCUCUCAAAGCUUCGCCGACGCCUCUCGAGUCUCGACACCUCUCGAAGCUUUGCCGACGCCGUUGAAGCUUCCCAGAUCCUCUUUGACGCCUCUUGGAGCACCUCCGUCGAUCUCAGGCCUCUUCUUCGAUCCCCGAUCUCUUUUAUGAAUGUCUAUCGUACAAAGUAUGACUAUGGGGGUCAAUUGUGGCCUCUUGUUCACAAUACAACGAUAUUCUCAUUGGUGCUCACCCAAGUUAUAGCGCUUGGAUUCUUCGGGCUUAAGAAGUCAC